UCGAAGAUGAGGAAGGUGCAAGGGUGUGCAGGCGAGGGUAAGGAUGCGCCGGCAUAUUGUCGGCGCGGGCGAAGAUGCGUCGUCGUCGGAGGCGGCAGAGAAGGAAGGAGAGAGAGAGGGCGAGAAAGACGGGGAAGGGUGAGAGAGGCGUCGUCGUCGGAAACGGUGGAGGAGAGUCGGAGAAGAAAAAAAAAAGUCACGGUGCGGCCUCGGCA
rnacentral:lncRNA from 1 species